rnacentral:rRNA from 1 species
CCCUUAGAUGUUCUGGGCCGCACGCGCGCUACACUGAAUGGAUCAACGUGUUUUCCCUUCCCGAGAGGGACGGGUAACCCGCUGAACCCCAUUCGUGGUAGGGAUCGGAGCUUGCAAUUGUUCUCCGUGAACCAGGAAUUCCCAGUAAGCGCAAGUCAUAAGCUUGCGUUGAUUACGUCCCUGCCCUUUGUACACACCGCCCGUCGCUCCUACCGAUUGAAUGGUCCGGUGAAAUCUCGGGACGGCGGCUUGGUCGCUUGCGUCCGACUGCUGAAACUUGAUUAAACCAUAUCAUUUAGAGGAAGGUGAAGUCGUAACA